ACGAACGCUGGCGGUGUGCUUUACACAUGCAAGUCGGGCGGCAGCGCGGGGGCAACCCUGGCGGCGAGCGGCGAACGGGUGAGUAACAUAUCGGAACGUACCCAGACGUGGGGGACAACUAGUCGAAAGACUAGCUAAUACCGCAUACGUCCUGAGGGAGAAAGCGGGGGAUCGCAAGACCUCGCGCGUUUGGAGCGGCCGAUAUCUGAUUAGCUAGAUGGUGGGGUAAAGGCCCACCAUGGCGACGAUCAGUAGCUGGUCUGAGAGGAUGAUCAGCCACACUGGAACUGAGACACGGUCCAGACUCCUACGGGAGGCAGCAGUGGGGAAUUUUGGACAAUGGGGGAAACCCUGAUCCAGCCAUUCCGCGUGAGUGAAGAAGGCCUUCGGGUUGUAAAGCUCUUUCGGCAGGAACGAAACGGCGGAAUCUAAUACAUUCCACUAAUGACGGUACCUGAAGAAGAAGCACCGGCUAACUACGU
rnacentral:rRNA from 1 species